AAGUAGGGGUACUUAAGUUUUUGAUUGGUUAACUUAAAAGUUACUGAUUGAAAGACAAAGAGAGUUUGAUUCACUCUUCACAAUGCUUUGAUCUGCAUUCUGAUUCUAGCAGUUCUUUCUGUGGAAGUGGAUAGCAUUCUUUGUCAUAAGUUCCUCAUAAUUGUCCUAGAUCAUUGUAAACUACUAAGAGUAGCUAAGUCUUUGACCGUAGGCCAUUCUACAAUAUUGUGGUAACUGUGUACAGUGUUCUCCUUGUUCUGCUUAUUUCACUCUGCAUCAGUUCAUGUUGGUCUUUCCAGCUCUUUCUGAAACCAUACUAUUCAUUAUUUCUUCCACUGCAAUAGUAUUCCAUUAUUAUCAUAUACCACAAUUUGCUCAUCCAUUCCUCAAUUAAUAAAUAUUCCUUCAAUUUCCAAUUCUUGUCAUCACAAAAAGAACAGCCAUAAAUAGUUUGGUACAAGUAAGUCCUUCCCCCCCCUUUUAAAAAUCUCUUUAGGACACAGACCUAGUAUUACAUGGUUUUACAGUGAUAUUACAGGAUCAAAGGGUAUGCAUUGUUUUAUAGCCCUUUGGACAGAGUUCCAAAUUGUUGGAUCAGUUCAAAACUCCACCAGUAUGUUAAUACCUAAUGGAAAAAAAAAAAGAAUUGCUUUAUUCUAAGCUUUUGUAUUCUUUUUGUUUGAUUAAUUAAAAAUAUAAUCUUUUGAAUGAUUCCUGGGUGGGAAAAUCAGCUCCCUAAUUUAUAAAGAGAUAGCUCAAGGGAAGAGAUCACGUGUCCCUUCUUGCUAGCCACCAACAACCUAUACUGAUCCCCCUUGGCUUUACAGGGAAUGUGCUCCUGGCACUCUGGACAGUGGAACUGAACCAGCUAAGUGACAUCAUUAUCCUAGUGGUGAAAUGCAGCCUGGAAAUACAGGAGAAGUUUGGAGUCUGCCAUACCAGGGAAGACCAGGAUCUUCAGAUAAUGAUAGCUAAGAGAUAUGUGGAUCAUAGACCCAUUUGAUUUUGAUGAGCACUUUGAAAAGUACAGUGAUUACGUUCCACAUUAUCCUACAGAUAAAGUAUCUCUGAGAAAUGCUGUGGCUUUGGAUCCAGACCCCAGACUUGAGCAAAACUUGUAGAAGCACAUAAUGGGAAACUUUCUAAAGGUUUGCACUUUCUUCAGUGUGUUUGGCUUUCCAGGUUAUAAGAAGCCAGAUGAGUGUGUCCAUGCCUUGGAGAGCUCCUUUAGCAUCUUUAGUUUCUGCUGGGAAAAUCUUGCUGAGACCAAGUGAGAAGGAAGGUGGGGCAGAGAUGAACCUCUUAGGCCCCAGGGUUCUCAAGGAGAGUUUAAAUAUUAUCUCAGAAUAUCUAUUAUGGAGGAUUCUGUAUAUUGUGAAACUUCUCUACAUGAUGUUGACUGAUUACUAAACUGAGUUUAUUACCAGAUAUUAGUCUUCUCUAAAUGAACACUCUAAUGCAAAUACCAACAACAUGGAAAUGGGUUCGAAUCAAGAACACAUGUGAAACCCAAUGGUGUGAAACAAGGCUGUGUCCUCGCUCCGGUACUAUUCAACCUAUUUUUCACCCAAGUAUUAUGACAUGCUGUGAUGGAUCUAGACCUGGGCGUCUACAUCAAAUAUCGACUGGAUGGCUCACUAUUCAACCUUCGCCGCCUACUGCAAAAACAAAGACAACAGAGAGACUCAUCCUGGAAGCUCUCUUCGCAGAUGACUGUGCUCUCAUGGCCCACCAAGAAAAUCAUCUCCAAACCAUUGUGGACAGGUUCUCCACCGCAACAAAACUGUUUGGCCUGACUAUCAGCCUCAGCAAAACAGAGGUGCUGUUCCAACCUGCACCAGGGAGGCCAACUAACCAGCCGUGCAUUACAAUCGACGGCACGCAGCUUUCUAAUGUCAAUACUUUCAAGUACCUGGGCAGCACCAUCGCCAACGACGGGUCCCUAGACCAUGAGAUUAAUGCCAGGAUCCAAAAGGCCAGCCAGGCACUUGGGCGGCUGCGCUGCAAAGUCCUCCAACACAGAGGUGUAAGCACUGCGACGAAGCUCAAAGUGUAUAACGCGGUGGUCCUCAGCUCGCUCCUGUAUGGUUGCGAGACAUGGACACUGUACCAGAAGCACAUGAAACAGCUGGAGCAAUUCCACCAACGCUCCCUCUGGUCAGUCCUGAGGAUCAGAUGGCAGGACCGAAUCACCAACCAGGAAGUCCUCAACAGAGCCAACUCCACCAGCAUCGAAGUCAUGGUCCUCAAAACCCAGCUACGAUGGUCUGGACACGUCAUCCGCAUGGACCCACAGUGAAUACCAAGACAGGUAUUCUAUGGUGAACUGUCAGCUGGACUCAGGAAACAAGGCCGACCAAAGAAAAGAUUCAAGGAUCAGCUAAAGUCCAACUUGAAGUGGGCUGGCAUGACACCAAAGCAACUAGAACUCGCUGCCUCUGUCAGAAGCAGCUGACGAACCCACAUUGAUGAUGCCGCCACCACCUUUGAAGAUGAAUGACGUCGACAUCUUGCGGCUGUGCAUGAACGCCGACACCAGGCCACAACCGCACCUCCCGUAACAAUUGGCAUCCCAGGCCCCAUGUGCCACAAACUCUGCGCCUCAGUCUUUGGACUUCAAAGCCACAUGAGGGUACAUCAAUAGAUGAUAAUGCACAAAGACAAUUGUCAUUCUUGGACACUGAGAGACUACUACAUUAGUCUUCUCAUCUAUAGGGAUAUAACUGUAGACAAUCCUAUUCAUUCUUCCAAAAUCCCAGCAUUAGUCAGUAGGGAAUAAUUGUGUUUGCCCAAAGUCAUAUAACAAAAUUCCAACUGGAGUCCCAUUUAGUUUGUAUGACUUCUAUCAUCAUAAAAAAAGAGCUCUUGAGUGGGGAUUUAUCCAAGUUUGUUCUUUCUGUCUCCUAGGCUUCUUUCUAUCAGCAUCAUUAAUGGUCCAGUGUUCUCUGGAGUUAUUGGUGCACUAGCCAGGCAUGAAU